UCUCGUCGACUGCAGAACAAGGUUAGAUAUUACCGGAGAGAAACCUAAGGAUCAUUUGUUUUAGAUAUUGCCGAGAGAAACCUAAGGAUCAUUUGUUUGCGUCGCAUGCUCCAACAUACUCCAAUGUGCUCCAAUUUGCACAGGCCUGUUGUUUUUAGCUGAACUGGCUGCAUUAGUUCAGAGUUUAUCUUUCUUUUUUCAACGCGAAGAGAAGAAGAUAACCUGUUAACUAGUGCAGUCAAUUCAGCUAAACAGACUUUUAUGGUGAUACUAGUGUUAGUGGUAUCACGAAAAAGGCGGAAGGCGGGAUGGCGACUGUCAGGUUUCUUUCUGCCAUUACAGAGCGGGAUUAGUUCUCUCUCGAUGGAAAAUCGCGUAAAGAGACGUAUGCCGUAUGCCACGUGUGGUGUAGAUUUACUUAUUGUGAGACAAGAUUCACUGGUUGGCCGCGUACCGGAGAUGUGUAAUUUUGCGUAGUGUGAAAAAACGCGGUUAAGAUUGCUGAUGCAAUCCUUUGGUCGGAUUUCAUCAAUUACAUCUUAAUUUUUGUUUCCACAAUUGGUUUUUGAUUCCUCAUCUGUAUUUUGUAUUACUUAUCAUUGGGAUUUUGCUAUCAUGAUAUUGAUGAAAUAGUCGCAUCGCUGCUCUUUUACGACCAAAAAGAUUACCAAUAACGACUAAAGAAAGAAAGAAAGAAAAGGCGUGAACUCGGGCGUGAAUUACUACACUACAGCAUUUCUUGAUAUUGGACGUUGUACAUACAAAUAUUUCUCAUUGAGUGUAAGUCAGAUAAUUCUCUAUGUAUUAUGGAGAAUGAAGAUGUAAUUUAUGAUAAUACCGUUCACGUUGAAAUUGACGACGAAGUAAAGUUUAUUUCUGGAGGAAAAAAAUAUAUAGGAAACGUAAAAAUGUAUUCAGAUAACUAUGAGGAAUUGAAGAUUAGACAAGCUCAAUUAGAAAAUCAACAGAAAAUUCGAGUGGAUAAAAAUUGUUAUGGCCUACAAGAAGCUUGCAGUACUAAAAGAAUUCCAAAGAAAAGAGAUUUUUACUCCCCAGAAAAAGAAAAUUCAACAAAAAAGUGAUUAAAGACGCCAUUCAAGAAUCUGAUCUAUCUUAACAUCAAGUUGCAAAUUUAAUUAAAAAGAGGAAAAUACAUAAACUACACUCGUCUAGUUCGGAAUCAUCUGAUGAAAAGGACAAUUUGUUAAUUAAAAAUAAUGACGUAAAAAAUAAUAAAAACAAUAAGGUUUUAUUUAUCAAUGAGUCCGAAAAUAUAAAACAAAAGAAGGAAACGAAUGCUGGAAAUCUGUUUCCGUUUAAACCAGAGAAAGAAGGGAUCAACGGUCGCUCCGGUUGCCUUCUACUCAAGGACCAUGAUAUAAACAUCUUCGAUCAUGCUCUUCGCGGAUGCUUCGCGCCGAAAGCGGCCCUCUCUCCUUUCUUUCUCUACCAAUUCCAAUCAUUCACCUGCGAAUUCUACGAAAAGGGGGGACCGGGGUUUUCCGGCCGGUUGUCGCGCCUUUUCGCGAACGCUCAGAUUCGUUUCUGACCGAGAGGCGAUCACAUUGUAUUAGUAUAAUAUAAGUACAUAUUACUCAAGGAGAUCAGAAGUGCUUCACUUAUUUCCAUUCCUCUCGACGCGAGCCUUUACUAAGGCUGUACUAGCCGACAUAGCGAAUUAACAAACAAACCAGGAGAAAUUCGCGAAUCCAACACCAUCGAAAGAAGAAUUGAAAAAAAUGAUAGCUGAACUUAAUGCUAAAUUAGAAACAUUACAAAAAAAGAGUGAAGACAAUGACUGCACGGCUACUAUUUCUAUUAAAACACAGGAAGUUUCUAUUAAAACACAUUCACUAUCUCCUGAUUUUGAGCAACUCGAGAAAACGCCAUCAAGAAAAAACAAAAAUGAUCAAGAUCUUAAUACUUUUGUUGAAAUUCAAAUCUUUCAAAUCAACUUUACGGAAAAUAUUUCCAAGCUGAAACAAUGACUGAAAUUGGUAAUUCAGGUAUUUAUUGCAUCGAUGUUCAUUUGCAAUAUGCACUGUCUGCCGGGCACAAGGAAAAACUCAUCAGAUGAUGAUUGUCGUUGCAUUAAACGAUUAUGCAAAGAAUACAAUAAUUGAUUUCGCAAUCAUGAUGGGUGAAAAAAGAAAUUGGAAAAUUCCAAAGAGGAGUGUAAUUAAUGCUUCGAUGACUCAACGAUUGGGAGAACUUAAACGACAGAUCAACAGUGUUGCAAUAACAACAACGCUUACAGAUCGUCAACAGUAAUACUUUUUCAUCAGCAUAUUUUAUCACUUGAAAUAAUUAUUAUUAGGGGCAGUCAAAUAAAAUUCAUUUGCCCAUAAUAUAUAAACAUUACUAAUGGACAAAUUUAUCAGUAAUUAUAUCAGUAAUUAUCAGUUAUUAUAUUAGUAUUUUUUAUCCAAAAUUUAUAUUAUAAUAUGCUCUAUUUAACUUUAACUAUACAAAUUGUCAUGUCUUUAUAUCAUUAUUACAUCUUUUUACUAUAUAAAAGUAAAUUAACGAAUUAUGAUUUCUUUCAAUUACCUUAUAAUAUAUAGCAUACAUUGAAAUAAUUACUGAUUGUUUAUUGGUAAUGGUCAUAAUCUGUACAAUUUAAUCUGUAAAAUUUAAUUAGUUUCCCCUAUAGCACAUUGCUAUUAUUUAUCGUCGUUUUAGCAUCAAAAUAGCAUCAAGCAUGUCAUCUGAUGUCAUUUAUACAUUUUCAUCAGCACAUUUUAUCACUUGAAAUAAUUUACUAAAUAAAUAUUACUAAUGGACAAAUUUUAAGGAACAUUUAGCAAUUUUUUGAGAGGAACGUUUAGCAAUUUUUAAAAAAUCCUGACCUGAUGAAGCAAUUCUGAGGUCAUAUUCGAUUUCAGGGCAUCAAAAUACAUAGGGAUACACAGGUGUAGUCUCUCGGACAUAACACUUUUGUUUUUCUGUGUGCCUGUGUAAUUUUUUUACUAAUAUGGAUCUAUUAGAUUCUUCUUGGAAAUAGAUUAAAAAAAAGAAAUAUAGAUCUAUUACAUUCUUUUUGGAAAUAGAUAAUAAUUUAUACGUUAUUUUUCAACCUUAUAAUGUUACAUUUACUAAAAUGUACUUCCAUCGUCAGAAAGCUUUGAAAAUUAAACAUAUUACACCUAUUCAACACAUAAAUAAGUUCUUAUUAAUUAAAGUUAAGAAUAUGAAAUCUUUGAUAAUUCUUAUUCAAGUUGGUAAUUACACAGGCAAUUACAAAAAAACAAAAGUGUUAUGUCCGAGAGACUACGCACAUAUGUAUUUCUAUGUAUUUUGACGCCCUGAAACCGAAUAUGACUUUAGAAUUGCUCAAUUAGGUUAGGAUUUUUUUUUUACCGGGUUGAACAGUGUGUAAUGUUAAGGAACGUUUAGCAAUUCUUUGAGUGUAAAAAAAAUCUUGAUCUGAUGGAGCAAUUCUGAGAUUAUAUUCGGUUUCAGGGCGUCAAAAUGCAUAUAUAGGGAUACAUAGGUGAAGUCGCUCGGACAUGACACUUUUGUUUUUUUGUGUGCCAGUUUUAUCAAUUUCCUUUAAUAUUGUACAAUGUUCCAUGCACUUUUUUUUUAUAAAACCAAAUAUUAAUGAAUUGUUUGCCUAUUCCUAACAAAACUGAAUGCAUUUAUUCAGGCAAGAGACAAGUGGACAAAUCUAAAAAAGGUAAUAGAGAAAAGUAACAACAGAGUAACACUUGACACCUUUAAUAUCUCGGUCUUUUUUAUUAAUGCUCUUUCAGCUUCAUCUUCCAUUUUUUCCGCUGUCCUUAGUUUGAUCUGUUUCUUUGGAUAAUUAUAAACACGAAGGAUUUUUUGUCCGAAAACUGGCUUGUAUCUUUCUGUUUUUAUCUCACAGAUGUUGCAACCGUACUUUUUAUUAAAAUUAACUAUAUUUUGUAUUUGAGCUCUUGCUGGCGCAUUGGCUAUAAAUAACGGAGCCACAAUUAUUGAGAUACACACUUCAUUAGUAUUCGUAAUUUUUGACAUCAAAAUGACAUCAAGUGAAAUGUUUGAUGUCGCUUUGAUGCCAAAACAACGACAAACAAUAGCAGUGUGCUAAAGGAGUUAUUAAUUUUUGUAAGUCUCGAUUUACAAUAGCAAUCAUAGUCAAUUAUUAUCUUCAUAUUCAUCAGUGUGAUUGGUUAAUUUCCUAAGACUUAAGGCUUACUACUCCUAUUGUAGACCGGGACUAAAACGCGGUUAUAAAAGUAAGGCUGUGAAAUUAGUCGAUUCGUUAAUUUACAUUUUCUAUUUAUUAUUAAUGGUAAACAAAAUUUAUAUUAACUCUUAUUAUAACAUCUCUAACAAAAAAAACCGUAUUAUUUUAUGUUUUUAGAUAUGUUAAAUUUUAGUUACGUUAAAUAUCUAUAUAUAGAUAUAUAUAUUCAUUCACAAAAAUGUUCAUCUAUAUUCACAAACAUGUAUUUAUAUUUACAAAAAAAUAAAAAGAUUAGACAUGUAUAUAAUUUUAUAGCAUUUCACAUCCUUUAUAACUUCUCUAUUCCAGCAGAUCUGAAUUCAGUUAAUAGUUAUAUCUGGUCAGAUCUCUCAGAUCUGAUCAGAUAGAAACAAAUUGCAUAUCUGGUCAGAUCUGAUAAAUCAGAUAUAAUCAUAUCUCGGCAGGUAUAUUCCUUUUUUCCCGGGUUAUCUGCUGCAACUUCGUAACAACAAAUACGUAGUUUGAUUUGUUUCUUUGGAUAAUUAUAAACACGAAGGAUUUUUUACUGAAAUCUGGCUUGUAUCUUUCUGUUUUUAUCUCGCAGAUGUUGCAACCGUACUUUCUAUUAAAAUUAAUUAUAUUUUGUACUAGAGCUCUUGCUGGUGUUUGGCUAUAGAUAUCGGAGCAACAAUUAUUGAGAUACACACUUCGUUAGUAUUUGUAAUUUUUGACAUCAAAAUGACAUCAAGUGACAUGUUUGAUGUUGUUUUGAUCCAAAAAUAACGAUAAACAAUAGCAGUGUGCUAUAGGGGUUGUUAAUUUUUGUAAAUCUCGAUGUACAAUAGCAUUCAUAGUCAAUUAUUGUCUUCACAUUCAUCAGUGUGAUUGGUUAAUUUCCUAAGACUUAAGACUUACUACUCCUAUUGUAGACCGGGACUAAAACGCGGUUAUAAAAGUAAGGCUGUGAAAUUAGUCGAUUCGUUAAUUUACAUUUUUUAUUUAUUAUUAACGGUAAACAAAAUUUAUGUUAACUUUUAUUAUAACAUCUCUAACAAAAAA